rnacentral:rRNA from 1 species
UACGGGGGGGGGCAAGCGUUGUUCGGAAUUACUGGGCGUAAAGGGCUCGUAGGCGGCCAACUAAGUCGGAUGUGAAAUCCCCAGGCUCAACCUGGGAACUGCAUCCGAUACUGGAUGGCUUGAAUCCGGGAGAGGGAUGCAGAAUUCCAGGUGUAGCGGUGAAAUGCGUAGAUAUCUGGAGGAAUACCGGUGGCGAAGGCGGCAUCCUGGACCGGCAUUGACGCUGAGGAGCGAAAAGCUAGGGGAGCAAACGGG